GGGCCCGCACAAGCGGUGGAGCAUGUGGUUUAAUUCGAUGCAACGCGAAAAACCUUACCUACCCUUGACAUAGUCAGAACUUACCAGAGAUGGUUCGGUGCCGAAAGGAACUGACAUACAGGUGCUGCAUGGCUGUCGUCAGCUCGUGUCGUGAGAUGUUGGGUUAAGUCCCGUAACGAGCGCAACCCUUAUCCUUAGUUGCCAGCGAUUUGGUCGGGGACUCUAAGGAGACUGCCGGUGAUAAACCGGAGGAAGGCGGGGACGACGUCAAGUCAUCAUGGCCCUUACGGGUAGGGCUACACACGUGCUACAAUGGCAGGUACAGAGGGCAGCGAAGCGGUGACGUGGAGCG
rnacentral:rRNA from 1 species